rnacentral:rRNA from 1 species
CACGUAGGGUGCGAGCGUUGUCCGGAAUUAUUGGGCGUAAAGAGCUCGUAGGCGGUGUGUCGCGUCGGCCGUGAAAACCUGCAGCUUAACUGUGGGCUUGCGGUCGAUACGGGCAUCACUGGAGUUCGGCAGGGGAGACUGGAAUUCCUGGUGUAGCGGUGAAAUGCGCAGAUAUCAGGAGGAACACCGGUGGCGAAGGCGGGUCUCUGGGCCGAAAUUGACGCUGAGGAGCGAAAGCGUGGGGAGCGAACAGG